GGCUCCACAUAGCACCACCGAAACCCAAGCUCUAUGUCUGAGAGUGCUGUCCCAAUGCUCCCUGCAGCUUGGGAUUUUACCUACUGCCCUGGGCAGCCUGUUCCAUGCCCACCGCCCUCUGGUGCAGACCCUUUCCCUAACCCCAACCUGUUCCUGUCCUGGCACAGCUCCAUGCCAUUCCCUCGGGCCCUGUUGCUGUCACAGAGAGCAGAGCUCAGCGCUGUUCUUCUUCUCCCCUCCUGAUGCAGCUUCCUGAUUUCUUUUUCCAAGCUUCUUAAAGCUGCUGUGAAGUGUGCUAGCAUGCUAGUUCUAAUGCAUUUCAGUUUCAUUUUCAUCAGUGUAGCUAUAAAACCAUGUAAUCUAUCCACAUCAAAUAAUAAUACAUUUAGGGGGGAAAAAAUGAGGAAUCAUUUAUGUAAUGCCAAAUGAAAUCAAUCUUCAUGAGUUUUCAAAGAAAUAUUUGAGAACAAAUGAUCCUCUAGUGGUUCUUCUACUUCAUUCUCCUACAUAAUGCCAUGAUUGAUGUCAUUAUUGCUAAAUUGUAUCCUGUAAGUUGAUGUAUAUUCGCCAUUAAUAUCUCUAUGAAAGGUGAUUUAACAACUUGUCAUAUUAGCUAGUCCUGUCACUUUGCCAGUCAUAUGGUUCUGUCUGGUGUUUUACGUAUUUCCCCCGAGCCCAAUGGAAAAGGACUUGGGGGUACUGGUUGAUGAAAAAAUGAUCUGAAAGUGUGUGCUUGCAACACAGAAGGUCAACAGUAACCUGGGCUGCAUCAACAGAGGGGUGGCCAGCAGGGAGAGGGAGGGGGUUGUCUCUCAUUUCUCUGCCCUCAUGAGACCCCAUCUGGAGUGCUGCAUCCAGGGCUGGGAUCUCCAGUGCAGGAAAGACGUGAAACUGUUGGGGCAGGUCCAGAGGAGGUGCUAGGAUGCUCAGAGGACUCGGGCACCUCUCCUAUGAAAAAAGGUUGAGGUAAUUGUGCUUGUUUAGCUUGGAGAAGAAAAAGCUCCAGGGAGACCUCAUUGUGGCCUUGCAGUACUUAACAGGAACAUAAAUGCAGGAGUGUGACUGACUUUUUACAUGAGCAGAUGGUGAUAGUACAAGGGGGAAUGGCUUUAAACUAAAAGAGGGGAGAUUUAGGUUAGGUUUUAGGAGGAAAUUAUUUACUCAGAGGGUGGUGAGGCCCUGGCAGAGGUUGCCCCAAGAUGCUGUGGGUGGCCCAUCCCUGGAGGAAUUCAAGGCCAGGUUGGGUGGGGCCCUGGACAGCUUGAUCUGUUGGGGGUCAACCUGCCCACAGCAGGAGGUUGGUGAAACUGAGUGGGCUUUGAGGUCUGCAACUUUUUGUCAAGCCUUUCUUAUAUUAUUUAAAAGGCAUAGGUAAUGUCAUGGAUAAUAUACAAAACCAUGAUCUCUUGGAAUAUCUAAAGGCAACUGAGGAGGACCAAAAAGUACCACAUACACCACCUAAGAUUAGGUUCAUAAACCCUAGUUGUUUGCCCUGUAAAGUCUACUGUUGAAACAUAAGUAUUCAUAAAACUUUUUGUCAUGGUUUUAUGAUUUUUUGUUAUCAGUUUUCCACAUCAUAACAUCAUGUAGUGCACUGGGAGUUAAACAGUUAAUGCUCCAGUUCUAAGGAUCGUCAGUAGAAAAGAAGAACUACGUACCCCAGAGGACUUUGCAUUGUUCUGUUUUGUUUUCCAUUCAGAGGGAAAGAUAAAAACUGUACACAGAUCACAAGACGUCCCUUUUUUUAAUCUUCCGGUUCAUCCGAGCAGCGUCUCUCUCCCUAGCCAUCUCACCGCCAGCAUUAGACACAUUUUGGUGCAUCUACAGAACAGUGAGAUCAGGUUUGGCAGAGGGGGAACUGGUUUCCCAAAAUGGACUUCUUGCAGAAAGCUGAGCUAUUAGAGACCUGGGUCUUCAGUAUCACCACUGUGGAUUUCCUGAUGACACUGACGCAUUUUAACAGUCCUAAUUUCAGGCACAAUUUAUUUAGUUUUGAAGUGUCAGCCUCAUUUUAAUGGGGCUAAAACCAUGCAGCUAGUCAAGUGCAAAACAGCCUGGGGGAAAAUUCAGUAAAGUGGCCCGUAUGAAUGAAAGACCCUCAGAAGAGAGACAAGAGAGUUUCCUGUCUUCUAAAUGCUGAUAGCCUGGUACAUCAUCUCUGCAGCACUUUGUCUCCCUUUCCCUUGUGAAUGAUGCCCCAUCCCAGCCAUCAGAUGUCUGACACUUUUCACUCACAGAUGAAAGAAAAGUUGAAAUAAGAAGCUUCAUGCCAGAUCAUUUUUACUGUCUGAAAAAUAUAUGAAUGGCCCUUAAAAAAAAAGUAAGAUAGUAAUAUAUCUACAACACAUAUUUUUACUUAUUGUAAAAAUGACCUUUUUUUGAAGUGUUUUUUUUUUUUUCCAGGUAGUUAUUCCUAAUACAACUUCUGUAAGUGCAAUCUUGUGAUAAUAUAAACAUCAUAUAAAGUUAAAAAUGAAAUGCAUGACCUCAUAGGAACAAUGUGUUUAGUAUCUUUCAGUUAAGUUUUGAGAAAUGCAGUGUUAUUUAGAAAAUAUUCCUCAAAAGUCACUGCCAAUUUUCAGUUAUCAAUGGUUUACUUCUUUUUGAUGAAAAUGGAAUGUUUCGACAUACAAUGUAAGAAAACUAUUAAAAAUAUCCUGUCUCACCCACUCUUGAGAAACUUAAAGACUUUACUUGCCAGACUUUUAGAGCAGUAGUUUCGGAUUAUAAGGGACAGAAGCUUUGCUGGUGAAUCUUUUUCUAAUUAAAUGGGUAACUUGGGCAUCAAGUCUAUAUAAAACCUAGAUAUGACCAGCUGUAAUGUUCUUGUGCUUGUUCCUGCAUUAGGGAACCAAACCUGCAAUUAAUAAAAAAUAUUUUCAGUUACAUUUGGAGAACUUUGAAAGGUAUUUGUAACACUUCAGCUACAAACUGUGCUGUGAUUCUCUCUGAUUUCUGUUUGUUGCAUUUCAAUGAAAUUUACUUGGGAUAUCUUGUGAAUUAACUAUUUUAUAAUAUUAGGUUCCAUACUGCUGCAGGGAGUUUCUAGCUUUUCUUAUGGAAGUGAGGACUCACUUCUGUUAGUAGUUUUGUUAUUUUAAGGCAAACUCAGAACUGCAAAAGUUGUUUCACAGACUUUAAUUGAAAACAUGGCAUUCCAGGAAUUUAACUAAAUUAGGACGCUUAUGUAUCUCUUUGAAGAGUGAAUAUGAAGCCCACUCUGAUUGUACACAGAGUUCCUGCACAGACCUCAGACCCUUAUAGGAGAAAGAGCAAACUUGUGAAAUACAGCCUGGAAUCUUUCUUUUCUCUGGAAGUCUCUUCUGUGUGUUUUAUAUACUGUUCUCCACCUUCCACUCUUAAUCUUUUCUACAGAGAAUAAGAAUUCAAUGGUGCUCAAACACACUUUGCAAACUCCCAUUGUUAAAAUAGUUCCCAAAUUAGACAUUGUAAUGAAUGCACUCCCUCAACUAAUAGUGCUGUUGAAGUACUGUCGUUUUCACCUCCUGAACUCUGACACAUGGUUAUUAUAUUUAGCUUAAUUUUUGAUGGGUGCAAAGCACCCAACACACCUACAGACAGUGUUGAAAUCUGUAACGCUCAGACUUUGAAAAUCCUGACAGGGCUCUGAGUCCUUUCUUCAUCUCUUAUUUUUUUUCCUCAUUUUAUGGUCAUGGAAAUUGCACUUAUUAGUUCUUUGUAUUUAAUAAAUUAAAGCAGCAUUUUUAUUGAACUUGUUCUAUAAUAAUUGUUGCUGAAAAGUGUGUGAUUACACACACCAGAGCUGGAGAUCUUCAGUCAUCCAAUAGAGCUGUAAUUUCUAGCAAGAAGAGUUUCAAGCACUGGGAAAGGAUAUUUAUUUUUCCUCCACUGUCCUUCCAUCAAAGGGAUAUUGACUGAUAAACAUCAGACAGACAAUUUCUGUUUUCUAAGAUUUUCUUAAAAGUAAGAAAAGUAAGCCUUUGACAUAGUCCCUCACCAUAUCCUUCUCUCUAAAUUGGAGAGGUAUGGAUUUGAAGGAUGGACUGUUCAAUGGAUUAAGAAC